rnacentral:rRNA from 1 species
AAUCAACGCUGGCGGCGUGCCUAACACAUGCAAGUCGCACGAGAAAGGGAUUUCGGUCCUGAGUAAAGUGGCGCACGGGUGAGUAACACGUGACUAAUCUACCCUCGAGUGGGGAAUAACCUAGGGAACCUGGGCUAAUACCGCAUAACACUUACGAGUCAAAGACAGCAAUGCGCUUGGGGAGGAGGUCGCGGCAGAUUAGUUAGUUGGC